AACGAACGCUGGCGGCAUGCCUAACACAUGCAAGUCGAACGAGACCUUCGGGUCUAGUGGCGCACGGGUGCGUCACGCGUGGGAACCUGCCCUUAGGUUCGGAAUAACUCCCCGAAAGGGGUGCUAAUAUCGGAUAAUGUCUUCGGACCAAAGAUUUAUCGCCUUUGGAUGGGCCCGCGUUGGACUAGCUGGGUGGUAGGGUAAAAGCCUACCAAGGAGACGUUCCAUAGCUGGUCUGAGAGAAUGCUACGCCACACUGGGGCUGAGACACGGCCCAGACUCCUACGCGAGGCAGCAGUGGGGAAUAUUGGACAAUGGGCUGAAGCCUGAACCAGCAAUGCCGCGUGAGUGAUGAAGUCCUUAGAGUUGUAAAGCUCUUUUACCCGGGAUGAUAAUGACAGUACCGGGAGAAUAAGCUCCGGCUAACUCCGUG
rnacentral:rRNA from 1 species